UUUACAGGCGGGAAGAAAUGGCUUCAGAGAGGCUGUGAAGGCCACAGGGCAAGCAGAGGCUGGAACCAGGAGUCCAAACCAGCAAUUACAGAUUGCAGCCAACAUCAAAGACACCUGAUGUGGAUGAUCAAAGAUUCAGGAUUUAAGUAAAGCAAACGGCUUCUCUUUUGUAUUUCAAAGGGGAAUGGAACCUGUUGCAUAAACCUUAACGCAGAGGAACUGUGUCUUCCUCCAAGGAUGGGUGGAUUCCACAGAGUCUGAUUCUGAAAGCUGAUAUCUAAACAGUUGUUAUGAAAAUACCAGAUCCCAGCAACUCAUCUCUAUUUCUCAUGGAACCGCCUUAGCAGGACCACUGCUCACUGAGCUAAAGAUAUUGAGGACUCCUCCUUGCCAAGGACCAGAACACAGUUGGAGGGCUGCAACGUUCGAGGUCUGGAUUUAGCGGCAGAGAUGGAGAUGGGGUUGCUGAGAGCACCUCCUCUAUCCUUUGUUUGGGGAUGGGGCUCUGGGCUGGAGUUCAAGGCUGUCCCAGGAGAGCCAAGCCCCAGCUAGUGACUGGUGUGUUUGCAAUUGUUUGUUCAGCAGCAGUCGCAAAUGGAUGCUAAAAGGCUUUGUGGUUCAUUGAUGGUCAUGCUCCUCUCCAUCCCAUUCUUCAUCCAUUUCUUGGGCGAGCCGCAAACUCUCCACUGGCAGCCCCUACCACUGCCCUCACUUGGCGCUGGGUCCUAAAUCCUGCCUGCUCACGGCCCUCUGCCUGCCAGCAAUCCUGAGGGUGGGUGCCCUUGCUCCAGGUCCCGUAUUUUGAAGACCCUUGGCAAGGCCAGGGCCUUGCUGGCCUUCUCCUCUGCUCCUGGCUUUCUGUCUGAGCUCAUAGAAACUGGGUGGUGGGUCCAUAUAGCAGCUGGUAUAGUCCAACAGAAUAAAUGGUUUAUUCAAGACAUCCACCAGGAGCUUAAUCACACAGAGAAAGGGGCCAUGGAGAGGAGUUGUUUGGAGCUCCAUUAUCAUUUUACUUGGGAUUUGUGGCCCCCCCAGUUUGGGGUCCAGUUGCUGAUUCUACUUCAAAGGCUGGAUGUGAAAUGACUGUGUGGGUGGAGAACAGGAACCCCCAUUUAAAAGCAAAAACAUAUUCUUCACAACUUGGCAUGGAGGCAGGGGAAAAGGAAACGAUGUCUUUUUGUUUGGUGGUGCCUUGAGAUAUUAUAUUAAUCUGUGCAUCUGCUGUGGCAUGGGUGAACCUUGAACAUUAUGCUCAGUGAAAGAAGCCAGCCACAAAGGACCACGUGUAGAAUGAAUCCAUUUAGAUGAAAUGUCAGAAUAAGCAAAUCCAUAGAGACAGAAAGUGGUUGCCAGGCACUGGGGGUAUGGGAGUACUGGGGAAUGAUGGCUAAGAGAUAUGGAGUUUUUUGGGGGGGGUGAUGUAAAUAUUCUAAACUUGACUCUAGUGAUGGUUGCACAGCUCUGUGAUUAUACUAGAAGUUGCUGAAUUAUACACUUUAAAUGGGUGAAUUGUAU
rnacentral:lncRNA from 1 species